UAGGGAAUCUUCCGCAAUGGACGCAAGUCUGACGGAGCAACGCCGCGUGAGUGAAGACGGAUUUCGGUUCGUAAAACUCUGUUGUCAGAGAAGAACAGCGCAUAGAGUAACUGUUAUGCGUGUGACGGUAUCUAACCAGAAAGCCACGGCUAACUACGUGCCAGCAGCCGCGGUAAUACGUAGGUGGCAAGCGUCGUCCGGAUUUAUUGGGCGUAAAGCGAGCGCAGGCGGUCAAUUAAGUCUGAUGUGAAAGCCCCCGGCUCAACCGGGGAGGGUCAUUGGAAACUGGUUGACUUGAGUGCAGAAGAGGGGAGUGGAAUUCCACGUGUAGCGGUGAAAUGCGUAGAUAUAUGGAGGAACAACAGUGGCGAAGGCGACUCUCUGGUAUGAAACUGACGAUGAGGUUCGAAAGCGUGGGUAGCAAACAGG
rnacentral:rRNA from 1 species